AAUUUACGUAAUUGUUGGGCCGUUGGUGUUUUUCGCGGAUAGCACAGGUGUUUUUCCGCUUUUGUUCCCCCUUUUAGACGCAGCUUUGGAAAUUGGCCUCUGUUCUUCUCAGAAAGAUUCACUUCGGAUGCGCCAUGUAAUGACACGUUAAGAACGGACCCGAAUUCCGUUUGGCUCGUGCCCGCUGCCGUUAUUCACCAAAACUGCUUUCGACGACGACAAUGACAGCACCAUCGCCACCAGCAGCUGCGACAGCGGUGGAACAGAGUCCGUAGUCGGCAAGCGACACGCAAAAAAAAAACACACAUACACGCGUGCACGGACAGAUAUGCCCAGAGAGAGGGAAUUGGUAUGCGUAGAUAACGGACAGAAGUGGCAGAUAUCGAAGUGGUAGUACCCAUGGGGAUUUGUAUGCACAUACAGAGAUAGACGUAUUGAAAGCGGACGCCACAGACAGAGAGAGAGCCCUCGAACUACAUAAGGUAAAGGCAGAAGAAGUUCUAGAAGUUCACAUAAGAUCUGAACUAGUUCUAAAAAUGGGAAUUUGGCAGUGGAAUAUAUGAAGUAUGAAGUUAUGUAUGUUUCCACUCUAGAACGGACUGCUUAAGGAAAAUAGGAAUAGGUUACUCAAACUAAUCGUAGUUUUCGAUUCAAAUAUUUGAACCCCACUAGAUCAAAAUCGAAUAAUUAUUCCAAAUGUAGUUAUUACAGUAACGAUCGAUCUGAAUUGUUCAAUCCUUUCAAUUUUUCAAACAAAUGUUCUUCCACUCGUUAAUUUUUACUAAUUCCGCUCAAUUUCGAUAGCUGCCGGGUACUAUAGAUGUUUCAUUCUGUCUUGACUCUCCCCAUCGACACCAUGACAAGGGGCCCUACAUAUGCAUAUAUGUAGAUUGAUAAGCAGGCAAUGACAUUUGCAAAAGAAAUGAACAACGCAGCUGGCGUCAACCUACGCGUUAUUUCUGAGGGCCUGCUAUCAGUCUCGCCUUACUCUUCGACCAGUUAAAAAGGAGUUCCUAUAUAUCUGCAGAUGUGGUUGCGCCAUUACUACUACUCUCACUCCCGCUGGCCGCCUCGAAUAGCGCCGUUGGAUCUCCGCCGGAGGCGCGAUACUUUUCUACAUCGGAGAGCAACCGUUCCAGAUACUCCACAUAAAGCGUCUCC